CAUUGCCAUCUGUAGAUAAUCGA
rnacentral:piRNA from 1 species